UUAAGUUCUUUUGUAUCAGUUACAUUAGACGAUUAUAGGCCAGAUUCGAACCCUGGAUUUCGGAACUGCUCCUUGCCCAAGAAAACAUCCUCCAGCAAGACUAAAUAGGUUACAGCUAUGGGAAAGAAAUGAUUAUACAACAAGCACAGAGAUGAGCCAGACUAGUAACUCCAGCUGGCAAGACGGCAGGGGAAAAGGUCAGAGGGGUCAAGGUCAAGGAUGGCGUGGUGGCCGUGGAAACUGGAGAGGAAGAUGGCGCGGUCGAGGACAGUACUUCAAAAAUUAUGGAAAUAGAGGAGGUAAUAGAGGGAACAGAGGUGGAGGGAUGAUGCCUGAUCCCCAGUCUAGUCAGUCUAGAAGACCGACCAUGGUUCAAACUAAAAUUGAUGUAGCUUCCCCAUAUCAUGGCUGGAAGCUGUAUUUUCCUG
rnacentral:lncRNA from 1 species